UKGGUUUSACYRGAAGUAGGUAGCCUAACCGCAAGGAGGGCGCUUACCACGGUGGGAUUCAUGACUGGGGUGAAGUCGUAACAAGGUAGCMGUAGGUGAACCUGCAGAAGGAUCA
rnacentral:rRNA from 1 species